UUAAGUAAGCGAGCAGUCGCCCAGCCCCAGUUUGCAAAAACUGGAGCUGGGAGGAAAGUCCGAACACGUUUGUUGGAUUGAGUCUCAUGAGUUAAUUCAGCAUCAGGUAGCGGGUAACGCCCGCCAAAGGGUAACCUUAGAGUUGCGAACAGAAACGACCCGGUUAAGUCCGGCUGAAACGCGCUAAAUACUUACCUGACAGUGCAAUGUCGAAUAGGUCCUGUACCGGAGCGAAAGCGACUGGUACCAGGGCGGGUAGACAGCUUGAGCCUAACAGCAAUGUUAGGCCUUAGAUAGAUGAUUGCUUCCCCAGCUCCAGUUUGCAAAAACUGGAGCUGGGUCAGACAGAAUUCGGCUUACAGCUUGCUUAAAGAG
rnacentral:RNase_P_RNA from 4 species